AGCACUUGAUGUAGAAGGUUGCAAACCACUACUUACUGUAGCACUUGAUGUAGAAGGUUGCAAACCACUACUUACUGUAGCACUUGAUGUAGAAGGUUGCAAACCACUACUUACUGUAGCACUUGAUGUAGAAGGUUGCAAACCACUACUUACUGUAGCACUUGAUGUAGAAGGUUGCAAACCACUACUUACUGUAGCACUUGAUGUAGAAGGUUGCAAACCACUACUUACUGUAGCACUUGAUGUAGAAGGUUGCAAACCACUACUUACUGUAGCACUUGAUGUAGAAGGUUGCAAACCACUACUUACUGUAGCACUUGAUGUAGAAGGUUGCAAACCACUACUUACUGUAGCACUUGAUGUAGAAGGUUGCAAACCACUACUUACUGUAGCACUUGAUGUAGAAGGUUGCAAACCACUACUUACUGUAGCACUUGAUGUAGAAGGUUGCAAACCACUACUUACUGUAGCACUUGAUGUAGAAGGUUGCAAACCACUACUUACUGUAGCACUUGAUGUAGAAGGUUGCAAACCACUACUUACUGUAGCACUUGAUGUAGAAGGUUGCAAACCACUACUUACUGUAGCACUUGAUGUAGAAGGUUGCAAACCACUACUUACUGUAGCACUUGAUGUAGAAGGUUGCAAACCACUAAUUACUGUAGCACUUGAUGUAGAAGGUUGCAAACCACUACUUACUAUAGCACUUGAUGUAGAAGGUUGCAAACAA